UCCCAGCGGUCCGAGUCGCAGCCACGAUUAUUGGGUCUAAAACAUCCGUAGCUUGCCUUGUAAGUCUCAUGUGAAAUCUGGCCUCUUAAGGGUCGGGCGCGCAUGAGAUACUGCGAGGCUUGAGACCGGGAGACGUAAGGAGUACGGUAAGGGUAGCGGUAAAAUGCGUUGAUCCUCAUCGGACUAACAAUAGCGGAGGCACCUUACGAGAACGGAUCUGACAGUGAGGGAUGAAGGCUAGGGUCGCAAAGUG
rnacentral:rRNA from 1 species